rnacentral:lncRNA from 1 species
AACACUGGUUUGGCACCGAGCAGUGGAAGGAAGCUGCAGCUGAGGCGGCUCUUUGGGAAGCUGGAAGACAGAAGAAGAGAACCUAAGCUCAGAAUCACGGCAGAGGUGAGAGUUACAGAUGAGAGGCGCACCCUGCGGCGGAGUAUCACGGUGGAGGAGCCCCAAGAACCUGCCGUCACAGCCCAGAGAUGACUGGGCUGUGCAUUUUGAAGGCUGAAAAUAACUGCAAAAAAGGCUUUAAGCCGAGGUCCCCCAGGAAGGACUCCGGAGACCAACAGCACCUAACGCGCGCUGCUUGGAAAUGCCGGUACCUGGCCCUGCCCUAGACCUGCUGCACUCACCGAGGAGCAUGUGACAGCACGAGCAGCCCUGCUGGAGCACCGGCCUUGCUGCAAAGUGGCUUCCGGUGCACGGCAGGCAUGAGAAAAAGAGACGGCUUCUCACCAGCCUGCUUCACUGGAGAGGGUUAUUCCCCAGUCCCAGGGGAAAGAAACAAAGGGGGG